UCAGCGACAACUCCCUUGGUUACCUGGACAACCCGUAACGCUGCCGCAGCGACUGCAGCUGACGCGCUGUCGCUGACGCUCACGCUGACGCGGGUACAGCGAGACACACUUCGCAAAGUUACCACAGAGCUUCGCUGUGAAGCCGAGAGAACGUGCGCAGGCGCAGUGAGGUCUAGGGCGGGACCGAGAGGACUCGAAUCCUCUCUUCAACCAAUCCUGUCGUCGCUUGCAAACUCAAGCUCAAGCCACGCCCACGAGCCCUCCUCAACCUCGAGGUCCUAUGGCAUCGCGGUCUUCCUCCCGCCUGGAUUUUGUCUGGGUAUGAGGCAGCCCUGCCAAUCACAGAGGAGUCAAACCCACUGACCCAGGACCUCGACAAAGCAGAUGCCGAGCAAACUGUUCCAUUGCUGGGACAAUGUGAUGCUGAGAUCUUCCAGGAGGAGGGGCAAGUCAUGCCCACAGACUAGAGACUGUAUAGUGAAUCAGUUCUGACCACCAUGGUCCAAGUGGCUGGCAAAGUGCAGGAAGUGCUGAAGAUAGGAAAACAUAGGACAAUCACAGUAGCUUGCCCAAAUAUAUCCAGCUAAUAAUUGCUGGGUAGCACUGCUUUUUAUUGAGUGAUUGGUGGAUGACAAAGCUGCUCUUGGUCCUUUCUGGAAUGAGUAAGGUUGGAGUCUCCUUCAACCAGCUAAUGAAAGGUCUAGGACAGAAACCUCUACACCUACCUCAUUGCAAGCAGUGACAGGUCUGUGGUGGCAUCUAGGGAGGGGACAGAAGAUAGUGCCCUGCACGGGAUUGAAGAACUGAAGAAGGUCUGUGUUUUCCCCUGAUAGUCAACCAGACGUCUCUGUCUGUUCCUUCUCAGGAGGACACUAGAGUCCCCAUCCAGCCAAAGCCCGUUCUCUUCCCCAGUCCUGACCCUGACAUCUCCAUGCAAUAGGCUCCCUUUGUGGCAGGCCAGAUGGACUCCGGCUUGGACAGCCCAGGCACUUUCUUACCAGUCCUGGUUGGUUUCAGCCCCGUGAACAUGGCCAGAUGGACGCUUUGAUCCCAGAGGUCAGCGUGUGAAACCGAUAGUGCUCAGGUGUGGUUCCCUGGAUGUUCAGCCUCAGGAGUGUUAAAGCAAGAAGAAAGUAGAUUCGUAGACCCUUGUGCGAGAGCUAGGAUGUUGUCGCUUUGGGGUGAGGCCUGAAAUGCCUUAUUUUUUGAGACCACCCCUGGCGAUGCUGGUGCCCGGCCACGUGCGGGGAGCUCUGCUGACUUCACCAUUGGCGUGGGCCUCUUGAUGAAGCUGAAGGCUUCCUGUCACUGGAAUGUUCCAGGGAAGGCUUGUGGAUUCCUCAAGAGCAGCUCUGCACAUGCAGUGGUGGUCCUGGGGGGAGGGGCGGCCGGGUGCUUUCUGAGGUCCUUUUCUCAACUCCCAGAUUCCAGGCUUGUAGCGUAAUUCAAGUGACGAUAUAAAUGAGUCUGAGAUACUGUUAA